rnacentral:rRNA from 1 species
CCUACGGGUGACAGCAGUGAGGCAUAUUGGUCAAUGGACGGAAGUCUGAACCAGCCAUGCCGCGUGCAGGAAGACGGCUCUAUGAGUUGUAAACUGCUUUUGCACAAGGGUAAACCUGCAUACGUUUAUUCAGCUGCACGUACUGUAUGCAUAACGAUCGGCUAACUCCGUCCCAGCAGCCGCGGUAAUACGGAGGAUCCAAGCUUUAUCCGGAUUUUUUGGGUUUAAAGGGUGCGUAGGCGGAUUGUUAAGUUAGAGGUGAAAUGUCCGAGCUUAACUCGGGAACUGCCUAGAAUACUGUUGAUCUAGAGAGUAGGUGCGGUAGGCGGAAUGUAUGGUGUAGCGGUGAAAUGCGUAGAGAUCAUACAGAACACCGAUUGCGAAGGCAGCUUACCAAUCUAUAUCUGACGUUGAGGCACGAAAGCGUGGGGAGCAAACAGGAUUAGAUACCCCGGUAGUC